GCUGUGUUUUUUCUUUUUUAUCUAUUUGUUUUGUUCAUACAUCGUUGUUAAAAUAGUGGAAUGUUAUACAAAUGUCAUACAAGUGAGAGGUUUAGCUAGUUUAAAAACAUGUUUAAUCCACCAUCAUCUACAUAAGAUAUGCAUGUACAAAGUCAGGAAUAUCAAUGCUGUUAUCCAUGCGUUUGAUGUGUAGGAGCUGUUGAUUUUGCGUUUUAGUUAUGGACUUCCGUUUUAAUUUUACUUGAGAGUUAUUUCACUUUUUAUUUUUUUCCUUCAUACAUAUCUUUUGAGUUAAGCCAUGUGCAACUGCUAUCUAUAGUUCUGGUUCGGAGAGGUCCAGCACAAGAACAUAUUAAACCCUAACUCAAUUUUUGUGAGUCUGUCCCAAAUAAUCAAGAGCUUGUUAUUCAUUGGUUCAUGUCUGUCAUCAUUUGUUUUUAAUAUUAUGCCUUAAGAUCUCAUUUGAAUUGCUUCAAAUCUUUAAUGUAAGGGUCUUUCAUAGCUGACUAUAUACCAUGGGUUAUCAGUCAUGAAUGUCAACUAGUGAUAUUUAAUUGCAUAUAUCUAAUUUAUUAAACUCUGGUGGAUAGUUGUCUUAUUGGUAAAUUUACCACACACAUUAUUUUGAUAUUAUAGCAAUUCUGUGAAAAAAAAUUGACAUUUGACACCCAUGUCAAUUCUGUUGCAGGUGUAAUGCUAUGAAAUGGUGUGUUGGAAUGAAGUAUAUCUUAAAGCCUCUGCAUAUUGCAGUGUCAGUCUAAUCAAUUUGGUUAUGGUGUUGAUUCUUUUUUUAUAGCAGCCAAGUUUUGCCUUCAGACGAAACAAUUUAGAAACACAGAUCAAACAAGCCUUGUGUGUCCUUAUAAUUAAUCAUAACAUACAACACCAAAACAGAUUGUAAGUCUUAUGUCAUGAUUAUUUUUUAUUAUAUUAAAUAAUAAAAUACAGAUGUAUUUUACUAUGUACCAGAUUGAUAUAGAAGUACAGUGAAGAACACUUUAAAAUUGCAAGCUUUCCACAUUUAAACUUGAUUCUGUUGAGGGUAAAUCAUACUGCUUAUACUAUCUUCAAGUAUUCUAUACAGUUUUAAAACUAAUUAUGUAUUCAUUAUUGUAUCCUUGUAAACAGCUGCCUGCAACAAGUUAAAGGUCAAAAGUUGAAAAACAAUUAAAUUUGAACAAAAUCAUUUAACAACAAGAGAUUGGACCAUAUGAUAUGACAUUAACAAUGAAAUGCAAAAGUUUAUGAACUAUGUACAUCUUAUUUCAUCCUAAAGUGGUAACAAAUUUCUUUUAUACCAUAGAACACAUGUCAUGUAAUAUAUUUCCUCAAAUGUAUUUGUAUGUUUACAAUAUUAUGUAAUACAAUGUCUUUUAAAGCAGUUACGUAAAAAUAUUCGCUUUUAUUGAAAAUUUUAAAAACUUUUUAAAUAGUUAAUCUUUCUGCAACUUUACGAAAGAGUUGACACAAGCCUAUGAGUCACACAUGGAACUUCAUCAACUUCAGUGUUACAGACUAUAUAGUUUUUUUGUUACCACUUUAAAAAGAUGUUACGUACAUAGAGUUAAAAUUACAGUCCAAUCUCUUGUUUAUUUCUCUCUCUCACACAGUAAGUUCGGACAUAUUUAUCUUUUGGUUCAGGCCACAAUGAUUUUGUUAUUAUCUCCCUUUAGUAAAAAUUGACAAUUAAAAAGUAAAAAAGCUACUGAUGUUGACUAUGUUAGCAUCACAAUCACAAUAUACCCUUAAGAAACUCAAAUACAACGACGGUGGAAAUAUUUGCAUUUCUCUGGUGGUAUUCACCAUUCAUUCACAAUCAUACACACUUUCAUCAUUUAACAAAUAUGUUAAUAAGAACACUUUUUAAUAACUUGUAAUAAAACAAUUAAAAUGAAAAAAAAAGUAAAAUAAAAUAAAUGCAUGACAUAAAACUGUAAGCCUAGAAGCUCUAUCUGUUCUCUUGCUUUCCACUUAAUAAUAAAAUCAUGAUCACAAAAUCUUAAAGAUAAUAAAUCAACAAAUUGCUUUAAAAAUACUGAAAGCUAACUGUAGGAAAAUAGAACUGCUCCCUGCAGCUUAAACUACAACCUUUUAAUAAUAAAUUAAUUCUACGUACUAAAAUAGAACAUUGUGUCAUGGUAACUAACAUUGAUACAUACCUUAAUUAAUCGUAUAAAAGUCAAUAAAGUCUUAAAUUACUUGACAGUACUGUUUAUAAGAAAUGUAAUUUAAAUUCAUUUCAUUCAUAAAUUAAAUAAGACAAUACAAACUUUAUUUCAUAUUCUUUUAAAA
rnacentral:lncRNA from 1 species